rnacentral:rRNA from 1 species
UGGGGAAUUUUGGACAAUGGGGGCAACCCUGAUCCAGCAAUGCCGCGUGUGUGAAGAAGGCCUUCGGGUUGUAAAGCACUUUUGUCCGGGAAGAAAUCGCACCUGAUAAUACCGGGUGUGGAUGACGGUACCGGAAGAAUAAGGACCGGCUAACUACGUGCCAGCAGCCGCGGUAAUACGUAGGGUCCAAGCGUUAAUCGGAAUUAUUGGGCGUAAAGCGUGCGCAGGCGGUUGUGCAAGACCGAUGUGAAAUCCCCGGGCUUAACCUGGGAAUUGCAUUGGUGACUGCACGGCUAGAGUGUGUGAGAGGGGGGUAGAAUUCCACGUGUAGCAGUGAAAUGCGUAGAGAUGUGGAGGAAUACCGAUGGCGAAGGCAGCCCCCUGGGAUAACACUGACGCUCAUGCACGAAAGCGUGGGGAGCAAACAGG